rnacentral:rRNA from 1 species
GACGAACGCUGGCGGCGUGCUUAACACAUGCAAGUCGAACGGAAAGGCCCUGCUUUUGUGGGGUGCUCGAGUGGCGAACGGGUGAGUAACACGUGAGUAACCUGCCCUUGACUUUGGGAUAACUUCAGGAAACUGGGGCUAAUACCGGAUAGGAGCUCCUGCUGCAUGGUGGGGGUUGGAAAGUUUCGGCGGUUGGGGAUGGACUCGCGGCUUAUCAGCUUGUUGGUGGGGUAGUGGCUUACCAAGGCUUUGACGGGUAGCCGGCCUGAGAGGGUGACCGGGCAACAUGGGACUGGGGUUACGCCCCGGACUCUUCCGGGGGCAGGAGUGGGGGAUUAUGCACCAUGGGCCGAAGCCUUAUUCCGCAACCGCGGGUGCGGGAUGAAGGGCUUCGGGUUGUAAACCGCUUUCGCCUGUGACGAAGCGUGAGUGACGGUAAUGGGUAAAGAAGCACCGGCUAACUACGUG